rnacentral:rRNA from 1 species
UACGGAGGGUGCAAGCGUUAUCCGGAUUCACUGGGUUUAAAGGGUGCGUAGGUGGGUUGGUAAGUCAGUGGUGAAAUCUCCGAGCUUAACUUGGAAACUGCCAUUGAUACUAUCAGUCUUGAAUAUUGUGGAGGUCAGCGGAAUAUGUCAUGUAGCGGUGAAAUGCUUAGAUAUGACAUAGAACACCAAUUGCGAAGGCAGCUGGCUACACAUAUAUUGACACUGAGGCGCGAAAGCGUGGGGAGCAAACAGG